CUUGGAUCCCUCUCUUCUAUGCCCAGUUUCACUACAACAACACCUUUUCUUUGAGUCAGUGGAAUAGAUAGAUUAAGUAAAAUGAAGGAUGGUAAGAACUCUGUGUUAAUUUUCAAAGCCAUAGCUGAUGACUUGGGUGAUAAAGAUCCUUAUGUGAGUGCCUUAACUGAGCAAGGCUAUAGUGUACUGACAGUUCCAGUUCUUGAGCUAAAAUAUAGGAAUUUGAUUGUGCUCAAAGAAAAACUUGAUCGGCCAGAAAAAUAUGGAGGGAUGAUACUGAGCAACCCACGCUGCGUGCAGGCCAUAGCAGAAGCUGUGGGAGGGGCAGAGGGACUCCCUGAGGAAUGGAGAGAGAGACCUGCCUACACUGUAGGGGAGACCACAGCACAACUAGCCUCGGAACUGCUGGAACUAGACACCUCGGACACUGCCUCAGCCAACGCUGCUUCUCUGGCAUCCAUCAUACUUAAGAAGAGAUCCCUCUACCCACUGCUGCUACCCUCUGGCAAUGUGAACCUGGACACUAUGGAUCGUCUGCUCAGCAAGGGAGGAGUGCCUACAGACCUGGUGGAGGUCUACACAACAGUUCCUCAUCCGAGAGUAGAGGAAAACCUCAGAUCUGUCUUGGAACAAUCCAUCCCUCACUACAUAGUGUACUUCAGUCCGUCUGGUGUCCACACUUCCUACCCCAUACUGAAAGAGGCUGUUGAUGUAGAAAAAACUAAGUGGAUAUCUAUUGGACCCACAACAGGGGCAGCUAUUGAAUCUUACGGAAUAAAAGUGUCUGCUUCGGCUGCUAAACCAACACCCGAGUGCUUGGCAGCUGCUAUUGCCAGCAGUUCAUAAUAUAUGUAAAAGAACUUAUGGUAUAGCAGAAAAUUGUAAGCAUUUAUUUCUCUGCCCAUUGUUGAUUGAUCUGCCCAUUUAUUUACAGAAUUGAGACAAUGCCUCUAGUAACAGUGUUUCAGGAAAUGUUUUAUGAUGGCCAUCCAAAGAGACCUCAGAAAAAACCAAACACUCUUCUCUUCAUGAAACAAUGGAAUCUCUUGUAAAAAUAAAGAAGUACGCACUUAA